CCUUUUAAUUCAACAUAAAUGUCAAAAAAUAGUAAGCAAAUCCACUAACACGGUGUUCUUGACAAUAAUAUGAAGACAAAAUUCCAUAAUUUCACAGGAAUACCAUCCCUACUUUUUAUGGAUUGUUGCGGAAUAGAACUACAAUCUAACUUGCUAGGCAGCAGUUUUCUGUUUCUUAGGCAUUCUGUAACCACCAAUAACACAAGCAUGAUCUCGCUCAAAUGGCUCAAGAGUAACCUGUUCGGAAGGCUUGAACUGCUCUUGCGUCAUCUUUUUUACUUCACUUUCAAAUACAGCCUCCGCAGGAACAGUGGAGUCGAUGCAAUUUGCCUUUAUUGAAAUAACAAAAUGGCCACCAGCCUUCAGAAAGUAUGAAGCAUUCAGUGCUAAAAUCCUUGCCUGAUCAGGCUGAGCAACAUCAGAAAAUAUCACAUCCACCAUGCCGACAAGCAUGCGGUACUUAGCUGGGUGCCUGGCAUCUUCAAUGAUGGGUAUUACAUUUGUUCGCUUCUUUGCCAU
rnacentral:misc_RNA from 1 species